UAUUACUUGCACAGCACAAAGAGUCCAAAAGUGCAGAACAAGAAGUACCACCACUGCAGUUUACCCAGGAUGGCUGAAAACUGCUCCGGGUCAGUGUCAAUGGAUGGCAGCUCUGCACGCCCCACUUCAUGCUGGAGAAGAGAGGCAAAUCUAGACAGUUGGAGUGUGUUUUCUAAUCCACCUUGGGAGAGGGGGCCUGCCACUAAGAAUUCCUGUUCUGAUCAUUGUGGACCAGAAUAUUCGAACAAAUAUUGCAAGACCCACCAUACCCUGGAGAUUCUCCCUGGACAGCCAUCACAUGUUACAACUUCUCUGCUGAUCAUAUUUUGGAAUUAACAAACAAAAAAACUAGUCUCAGAUACUUAUAGUAAAGGUAUUAUAUUACAAAAAGAUUUGAAAAUAAAGUUCAUUUCAUCAAGAUUUUUGAGAUGGAAACUCAAAAGAGAAGACAAGAAUGGUGGCAUCGUCAAGAGAAAAGAGCACCUUUCACGAUGGCAAAGUGGAAGUAAGAGCGAAAGCCAUGGCUCACGGGAACCAUCAGGGCAGUGGAGUUCCCCAGAGUUGUGAAUGCCAGAGAACAGACUCCAGAUGGGAACAAUGUUUUUGAAAAUUCCUACCUCAGGUGGUAGACCCCCUCCACUGUUACACUGAAAGAAAGCCAAACAUUUGAGAGUAAGAGGAUUUCCAGGGGUGGGGGAAAUCACAUGCCUCAAUUUAUCUUUACAAUUUUUUGGAUCUGAAGUUCAAUCAAGUAUAUGAUAUUGAAAUUGAAAUGACACUGAACCAUAAAGAGGCUGCUAAUUUAAUAGUUUAACAUAAAGGAAAGGUUGGGGAAAGCAAUAGCAAAGUAGCUUUGUGUAACUGUCACUAAAAUACAUAAAAUGUUUUAAAUAUCUAAAGCCCCAUUAGUAAUGUGCAGGGCUGUCAACCUGCCAUUAACUGGGAUUCCAAGGGAAGUUACACACAUAAAAGAAGGAAGGCGAGACAGAGCAAAGGAAAAGAAACACAUAUAUUUGUACAAUCAUAAAAUAUCAAUCUUUCCAAAUCUCCUGAACAACCCCAGAACCAUAUUUUCAAAUGCACACAAAAUUAGAUGUUUUCACUCUGAUGGCAAUGCCUAUUUCAUGACUAAUGAAAAUUUAAAUGUUUAUUCCAAGAGUAGAUGAGAUUGUUUAUUCACUAGCUGCUUUGAAUAUUUACUUAUUAAGAGAUCUUUUAAAAGGGUCCCAUUUCAACAGAAAUGUUCUAAAAAGUGGGGUUACAGAAGGACAUAAAUAUUCUAGAGCUUUCAUUCAACUCAGUGAUUCAGAUUAGUGCUACUGAAGUAAUAGAAUAUAAACUCUGAUUAAUGAAUGACUAUCAAUGUUGUGUUAUGAAAAGUAAUAUUAAUUCUGAUCAAAGGGUAUAGUCACUGUGUUUGUACUUAAAAUCCAUAAAAGCUUGUUGUCAACCUGUUCAAUCUCAUAAGACACACUUGUGGAGAUUGAUUACAUUUGGAUUGCCUUUUAUUUCUACUCACAGUCUAGAGAAUGAAGUGGAAAUACCAUCAGCACAAUUUUUAAUAAACUUAGAAUAUAUUCUAGUUUUAAGAUCCCCCAAAUACUUUGAGGUAUUUAAGUAUGAGAUAUCUGUCAACAACUUAAACAGAAUAACAUGUGAGCUCCAUAAUUUUGAAAUAAACCUCACUUUUCCUGUUUUGUUAUGGGCUGAAAGUUUUAGAAAAUAUGUCAUUUUGAAUUUUCAUCAACUAUUCAUAUAGUAGAAAUUUAAUCAUGAAUUGUUAGAUUAAAUAGGUGUACCUGGAUUCACUUUUAAUAAAAUUUUAGUUUUAGGGCAGUUUUUAUUUUAGAACUUACAGAAUUAUUGCAAAAAUAGUACAGAGAGUUUCCACAUAACCCACACCCUGUUUUCCCCAUUAUUAAUAUUGUACAUUAGUGUGGAACACUUGUCACAAGUAUUGAGCCAAUAUUGAUACAUGAUUCUUAACUAAAAUCCAUACUCUGUUCACAUUUUCUCAACUGUUCCCUAAGGUCAUUUUUCUGUUCUGUGAUCCCAUCUAGGACACCAUAUCAUGUUAAUCAUCCCACCUCCUUAGGCCCCUCUUCACUGACAGCUUCUCAGACUUCCCUGGCUUUGGAUGGCCUUGCCAGUUUUGAAGAUUACUGUCUAGGUAUUUUGUAGAUUUUCCCUCUAAUGGGAUUUGCCUGAUAUUUUGCUCAUGGUUAGACUGGGCUUAUCAGUUUGGGGACAGAAGACCACAGGAGACAUGCCAUUCUCAUCAUGUCAUAUCGAGCCCACGUGCUGCCAACAUGACUUAGGACUUAUCAGUGUUGAUGUUAUCUUGGUCACCUGGCUUGAGGUAGUGUCUAUCAGGUUUCUCCAUUGUAAACUCUUUUUCUCUCCCUUUCUGUACUGUGCUCUUUGGAAGAAUGUGAUUAUGCACAGUUCACACUUAAAGAAUGGGGAGAUAUGCUCCACCUCCAUAAGGGUAGAGUAUCUACAUAAAUUAUUGCAAAUUCUUUGGCACUGGUGAUUUAUCUAUUCUCCCCCAUUUCUAAUUUAUUCAACAAUUUAUUUAUAUCAGUAUGGACUCAAGGGUAUCUAUUUCAUAUUUUGGGUUAUAUUCCAAUAAUACUUUAUUUUGCCGUUCAAAUUGUAUAAGCUUGACAAUUGAGAGUUCUUUCAGUUGGACCUUGUGUCCCUUUGAUGUAACCCAUUAUUGUUUUUGUUUUAUGCUAUUUUGAGCAGUCUUACCUUCUGGCAUUACAAGAUGUUCCAGGCUCAUCUCGAACAUUUCCCUGCCCCAGUCACAGAAUCAGGCAUUUCUCCAAGUAGCCCUGAUUCCUUUUAUUGGAAAAUGACAUUAAAAACUGAGAUCUGGUUUCUAAAUAUACCUGUUGCUUACUGGGAUGUCAUUGCCUCUAAGCCCUCUCAGUUGACAUAGCAAGCAAAUAUAUGCGUGUGUACUAACCUAUGUAUGUACAUAUAUCACAAAAUAUUUCCAUAUGUAGACAUCUGCACUUAUAUUAAGCUAAACAUGAGUUCAUUCUGAUGUCUCCAACUUUAAUCCAUUGCCCAUGGAUCUAUUUAGCCUCCUUCCCUCACUUGUCUGUAACUUCCCACUACAACAGUGAGGAACUUGGAUUCCACCAUCUGUUACCCACUUACUUAAAUGUUCAGUUACAAUAUACAUGAACAUUAGUUUCAGAAUUGUCAACCCAUAUCCCUGUGGGAACCAACUUUAUCAACUAGAGUUAGUGCUUACGUACAAUUCCUUCUGCCCUUAGCUAUGUAGAUUUCACUCAUCCAAAGUUACUUAGAUUGGAAUGUCCAUAUGCCCUUCAGUGAAGCUGUUUCAUGCAUUUGUAAUACAUUUAGAUUAUUUUGACGUAACCUUCACUGCAUUCUGGGAUCUUUCAACCUCCUAGAUGCUUUAAAAAUUUUUUUGUAUAUAUUAAGCUUUAAUCUUGUUACUGCCAAGUUUUAUGGGUUUUUGGCAAAUGCUUACUGUCUUAUACUCACCCUUACAAUAUCAUGCAGAAUAAAUUCACUACUCUAAAAAAGUUGCUUAUGCUUCACAUUCUCAACACACACCUCCAACCAACCCUUGCCCUCCACCUCUCAAACCUCUGUCAACCACUGAUUUGUUUACUGUCUCUAUAGUUUUGCCUUUUCAAAAUGCCAUAUAAUUGAACUGAUAUGAUUAUGUAGCUUUUAAAAAUUGUUUUUUUCACUUAGAAAGAUGCAUUUAAGAUUUAUCCAUAUCUUUUUGUGGUUUGAUAGCUCAUUUAUAUUUAUUGCUGAAUAACAUUCCUAGGUAUUGAUAUACUUCAGUUUGUUUAUCCAUUCAUCUAUUGCAAGACAUGUUGGAUGCUUUCAGUUUGGGUGACUAUGUAUAAAGCUAUUAUAAACAUUUCUUUGCAGAUUUUUGUGUGGACACUGAUUUUCAAACCAGUUGGGUAAAUACCUAAAAGCAUGGUUGCUAAAUCAUGUGGUAAGACUGUGUUUAACUUUGAAAAAAAAAAAUGCUUAAUUUUCCUCCCAAGUGGAUAUCAUUUUGCAUUCCUACCAGCAAUAAAUGAGAGCUCUUGUUGAUCUUAACCCUCAUCAGUAAUUGGUAUUGUUGGUUUGGGGGGUGUGCCAGUUUGGAUAGAUUAUGUCCCCCAGAAAAAGCCAUGUUCUUUAAUGCAAUCUUGUGGGGGCAGAUAUAUUAGUGUUGAUUAGGUUGGAACCUUCUGAUUGUUUCCAUGGAGAUGUG